rnacentral:antisense_RNA from 1 species
AUCCACCCAAGACCCGGUUCCUCGAUUCCCAUCGUUACGACCGAGGAGAAAAGAGAGUAAAUUUUCCUAUUAUAGCCUUCUCUCGCACCUUCCCCGCUUCCCACCAGCCGUCUCCACUGUCCUCACCGUCCCCAUCCUCAUCCAUGGCGAAAUCUUCGCCCCCAGCCUCGUGAAGAUCUAGCACGUCCGCCAUCUCGCCUUCGAUCGAGAUCUCGUCUGUGCCGCUCAGACACUAGGUACCUCGGGAAACUGUCGCAGAGGGGAAAGGUCGCCAGUCAAGCUGACCAAUCAAAGGUUAACUCUAAAUCCCUCCCUCUGCACGGUAAAAACACGCAAAUUGGGGCGGGCCUAGUGAGGAAAGAUACCGGAAGUGUUUCUGUGGCCAUCUUGAGCAGGUCGCAAGCUAAAUCCUGCCAUCUUAGGAGCUUGCUGGCCUGCUCUAUAGUGCUGUUGCUUAAAAAGUCAUCUGUGAAGAAAACCAGAGGGAGAAAUUUCACCUGCCAAAGUGGAUAAAGAGAUUGUAGGUGAGGAAAUUGUGGCUCAGAGAAGUAAUUCGACUUGUCCAACAUCAUAUGCAAUUGGUGGUGGAGCUAAGUGGCUCAGAAAUCAAAGAUGGGGAAAUAGAGGCCAGAAGUAGAAGAAAAUAGAAGAAACACACUUGGUGAAAUGAAAAUUAGACCCUGAAUAAAAACUGU